rnacentral:miRNA from 1 species
CCUCGUGGAAUCAGGCCUUAAAGGCGGUUUUCCACGAGGCGAAAUUUUUCGACCGAAUCGAAAUUUCUCUUUGUUUCAUGAGCUCUCGAGCAGAACUAAUUGUAAAAAGACAAAGAGAAAUUUCGUUUCGGUCGAAAAAUUCCGCCUCGUGGAAAACCGCCUUAAAGCCGGUUUUCCACUAGG